rnacentral:rRNA from 1 species
GUGGGGAAUCUUGCGCAAUGGGCGAAAGCCUGACGCAGCCAUGCCGCGUGAAUGAUGAAGGUCUUAGGAUUGUAAAAUUCUUUCACCGGGGACGAUAAUGACGGUACCCGGAGAAGAAGCUCCGGCUAACUUCGUGCCAGCAGCCGCGGUAAUACGAAGGGGGCUAGCGUUGCUCGGAAUUACUGGGCGGAAAGGGCGCGUAGGCGGACAGCUUAGUCAGAGGUGAAAGCCCAGGGCUCAACCUUGGAAUUGCCUUUGAUACUGGCUGUCUUGAGUUUGGGAGAGGUGAGUGGAACUCCGAGUGUAGAGGUGAAAUUCGUAGAUAUUCGGAAGAACACCAGUGGCGAAGGCGACUCACUGGCCCAAUACUGACGCUGAGGCGCGAAAGCGUGGGGAGCAAACAGGAUUAGAAACCCUUGUAGUCC